rnacentral:tRNA from 1 species
AAGAGGCUUAGGUUAAAAUUAGACCAAAGGCCUUCAAAGCCUUUAGCGAGAGUGAAAUUCUCUCAGCCCCU